rnacentral:pre_miRNA from 1 species
UAACUACUCCCUCUGUCAGGAAAUACUUGUCGAAAAAAUGGAUGUGUCUAGACAUAUUUUAGUUUUAGAUACAUUUAUUUUUAUUUAUUUCCGUGAUAACUAGUUCCGGACGGUGGGAGUAUAUG